rnacentral:lncRNA from 10 species
AUACAUAUUUCAAGAAUUUCAUAAUUCUUUGGCGGAGCCACCUCCCCGAGAACUUACAAUAAAGACCAUAUUUCCCAUUGCACAACAAGAGCUAUUUUGUGCACUUUCUCCCUGUUACACUUUUAAAGCUAAAAGUUAAACAAAUCAUUUUGUAAGACAAAAGUAGGAAGGUCAAAUUGUUUUCCUUUAUCUGGAAUGGUUACUGAACCCUGGUGUUUGUCUUCUGCACAUGUUGACAUUCUGCCUGCCUUUCUCUUUUGUCAUGGAUUUCAGCUAUAAAGUGUGUUCGUCUUUAAAACUAAGCCUCCCUGUGUCAUAUGUUCAACCCUGCUCUAUACAACCCAACACAACUUAUCACACUCUGACAGCUAAUAUUUAAAAGAGAACACACACGUAUUUUGAGGUUUGAUAACUGCUAUCAAUCUCGAUAAUGGGUAUCCAAUCCAAAAUUGUGACAGAUACCUAGUGGAUUGAGCAUCUACCGUGAGCAGCUAAUGUUGAAGUAAAUGAAUCAGUGAGGCAGCUACUUCACAUCUAUAAUUAAAAAUAAAACAAAUACAUGCCACACAAAUAAUGGAAGCCAGAGAAAUCUGUCAUAGCUGCAAAACGCAUGAAAAGAUGAAACUUAUAGUUGUCAGUUUCCAAUUUACCUUUCUUUGAUUUGCUUUAAAUAAAAGAUGGUGAGAUUUUUUUCUAAAGAUUUUUUAUGGUAAAAAUUUCAAGAUUUCCAGUUCAAUAUGUCAUUGCACCUUGUUUUCACAGAAUCUGAGAGUACAGAGUACAGUGGGCCCUGAAACAGCAUGGCUUCGAUGCUUAGAAAAUGCUCUCUUCCAACCGAGUAAAUCAAGGAUCCUUGAGAACUAGAAGCCCUGAGCCACUGUUGAUGUGAAGACCAGCAGCCUGGCAGCACACACACAGGAAGAAGGGAUUAGGAACCUCCCACAAAACUCCAUUCUCAGAAUAUUUUUCCUUUAUUUUUGUUUUUCAUUUUAAAUGUUACCUGCCCUGUCCUGUAGGUAUUUGAGUUUGUGACCAUUAGUCCAUAUAUUUAACUUUUCCUUCAUUUCUUUUGGUAAUUUUUUUUAAACUUUUACUCAAAAUUCUCUACUGUUUUAAUCCCAACUAUUGCUUUCAUUUCCUCCCCCAUGUUUUAUAAUUUAGUUACAUAUUUUUACUUUAACAACAUUACAACAAAUGUCUAAAAGUCCUUAGAAUUGUCCAAGUAAUAUCUUAAUUCUUAAAAACUUUUUAAUGUCUGUUAUCAAAAUAACAAAUAAUUUUAGAGUUAAAUAAGACUUCAAAGAUAUCAUAAUGAAUUUAUACAGAGACCCCUUAGCUUUCUUCUCUUGGAUUCAGUGUAGCUGACACUUACUCACUUAAACAUUUGUGAUUACAAAUUGAAAAGAAAUAAAAUAGGAGCGCUUAAACAAGAAUGAAAUAAAUUAUAAAUGAGUUGAAUAAUUAGGUUUAAUGAAAAAAACUGAAAUGCCAGAAAAUUUGGUACGGAUAAUAUUAAUGAAUCAAAUAUUUUUCACCAUUAUGAAUCAAUUGUAAUGCUGAAAGUGAGCAACAGGUAUUUGAUUCUUUUUCUCCGUUUCGUGUUGGGGUAGCAGGAUCUUUUCAUUCCUCAUAACAGCUCAAAUGCAUGUGAAAUACCUUUUCUUCUGUCACGCAUUCUUUGAGAACCAGAUUCUACAAUGACCCUCAGUGAUCUAUAUCUCCAAGUAUUUGUGCUUUUGGAUAGCGCCUUCCACAGAGAAAGGGGCUGAUGUCCUUUUAGGACCUCGUUGAAACGAUGGUGUCUGACUUUUGAGGCUAUGUCAUAAAAAAAUUUGCCGCUGACACCUUUCUCUCCGGGGGUAGUCAGAUUUCAGACUUCAAAAAAUCCUGUGGAGUGACCCACUGAGGAAAACACUGAGUUUUCCUGACAACACCAGUACCACCUUGCCAGCCAUCUGAGAGAGCCAUCUUGAAGGCAAAUACUCUAGCCUCAAAACAAACCUUCAGAUGACUGCAACUCCAGCCAACAUCUUGAAGUCUCAUGAAGGGCCCUGAGACAGAACCACCCCAAUUAUCUACUUUCAAAUUUCUAACAUAUAUAUGUGAGAAACAAUAAAGAUUUCUCAUUGUUUAAGCCACUAUGCUUAUGAGUAAUUUGUUGUUUUGAAAUGGAUAACUAAUACAGAAUUUGAUACCUGAUAUUAGAG